ensembl:lncRNA
CUGGGGUUCAAAGUAAAUCAUUCACCAGGCCAAACUGUCACUGGAGCAAACUUAAAGUUCUUUAUUUGUCAUAAAGCAGGGUUCAGGGUAAAGGGGAGAAAACUUGAACAUAGGUACUUCUUCUCUCUCAGGUUGCUCCUUCCUGCAUCAAUUUUAUUUCUGAAAAAAGAGGCAGGAGAGGUGUAGGAUUAGUUAAGGGGAUUCGCUGUACUAACGCCGUCAAUUAAGCCUCUAUCUUCAAGAGGGUAGUUGGGCUGGCUGGGCUUGAAUGCAUCCAACACUGAGUCUGUCCUCUUCCCCUUCGUCUCCCUCUACUGUGGCUUCUUUGUUCCCUUUUAUGUGAUUACUAAUUGCCCAACAGCCUGCAGCUGAGGCUGCCUGCCAGAGGGGAAUGCUGCACACCUGUGUUAGAGCUGUCCUUGGUCCUGAACACCACUGUUUCACCCAGACCUUGUGUCCUCUGAUGGUGCUAUCCAUGGUGCUGCAGGAUCUUCAGAGGAGGCCGGCAGCUGCAGUUGUCUCUGUCCCUGUGCUGAUCGAGUGUGCAUACUCAGCCAUACUGAAUAAUGCACGGCACCUGCCUGGGCUGAAGGAGGCCUGCUGUGUGCUGAAGAAAGAAAAAUACAGAUCGCUAAUUGACUUUGGUUCCUCAUGCUAUGCUAAUGAAUAUUCCAUGAGGCAGGGAUGAGGCACAAUGCGUGCCGUCCUGUGAGGAGCCACUGCCAUACUUGGAACAAAACUGGCCACUGCCACAUACAUCAUGAUCUGGCCAGACUUGUAUCCAACAGAGGACAGAAGGAAGGGAAAUUCCUUUUCAACUCUGCUACAGAUUUCUAUCAUGUUUUAACAGGACAACUAGGACUACCAGUUACUGUACAUGAAGAUGAAAAGAAACAUCAAGAUUGCAAAUGUGUAGCACCGUUUUUGUAUUGUGCUUACGGAUCGAAAAACUGCCAGUAAGAGCUGUUUUGCUUUUCCAG